GUUUUAAUAGCUUAUUUAGAGCAUGAUAUUGAAGAUAUCAAGGAGAUUCUUAUCUUAAAAUA
rnacentral:tRNA from 1 species